AGGACGAACGCUGGCGGCGUGCUUAACACAUGCAAGUCGAGCGGAAAGGCCCUUCGGGGUACUCGAGCGGCGAACGGGUGAGUAACACGUGAGUAAUCUGCCCCUAGCUCUGGGAUAGCUCCGGGAAAACCGGGAUUAAUACCGGAUAUGACCACUUUAGACAUCUGCUGUGGUGGAAAGAAUUUCGGCUAGGGAUGAGCUCGCGGCCUAUCAGCUUGUUGGUGGGUAACGCCUACCAAGGCGACGACGGGUA
rnacentral:rRNA from 1 species